AGAACAUUCAAAAAAUUCUAAAAAUGAUAAUAUAUUAUCUGUUUUAUAGCAAUAUACAAUAGCCCAUUGUAAAAUGAAACCAAAAAAAAUAAACUACAUAUACGUCCUUGACUUAUGACAGGAUUCAGUUCGAACUCCACCACAAGUCAGAACGAUCAUAAGUUGUAUAUGCCAAAAUUUAUAGACUUCUUAUUGCUAAUAUUUAUUAGGACACCAUGUAUUAUCGUAAAAAAAAAUAAAAUUACAGGAACAAAUUACAAGAAAUUACAGAUACAAAAAGGAUGUUUUCUCUAUUCAGAUCACUGGAUCAGAGAUUCAAACUCAUGGAAUUGCAUUACCAAUCACAAAUUUUACUGGUUACAUCACUGUUGUAAAUCAAGGUGGCCAUAAUCAAUAACUAC
rnacentral:lncRNA from 1 species